GUCCACGCCGUAAACGAUGUCAACUAGCCGUUGGUCCUAUUUACAGGAUUAGUGGCGCAGCUAACGCAUUAAGUUGACCGCCUGGGGAGUACGGCCGCAAGGUUAAAACUCAAAUGAAUUGACGGGGCCCGCACAAGCGGUGGAGCAUGUGGUUUAAUUCGAUGCAACGCGAAGAACCUUACCUACCCUUGACAUCCAGAGAAUCUGUUAGAGAUAGUGGAGUGCCUUCGGGAACUCUGAGACAGGUGCUGCAUGGCUGUCGU
rnacentral:rRNA from 1 species